rnacentral:rRNA from 1 species
UACGGAGGGUGCAAGCGUUAUUCGGAUUCACUGGGCGUAAAGGGUGCGCAGGCGGCCAAGUGUGUGAGGCGUGAAAGCCCGGGGCUUAACCCCGGAAUUGCACCUCAAACUACAUGGCUAGAGCAUUGGAGAGGGUAGCAGAAUUCACGGUGUAGCAGUGAAAUGCGUAGAUAUCGUGAGGAAUACCAGAGGCGAAGGCGGCUACCUGGACAAUUGCUGACGCUCAGGCACGAAAGCGUGGGGAGCAAACGGG